GGAGCCAUAGCUCAGUGGUAGAGCAUCUGCUUUGUACAGCGAUACCUCGGGUUAAGUACUUAAUUCGUUCCAGAGGUCCGUUCUUAAACUGUUCUUAACCUGAAGCACCACUUUAGCUAAUGGGGCCUCCCGCUGCUGCCGCGCCACCGGAGCAUGAUUUCUGUUCUCAUCCUGAAGCAAAGUUCUUAACCCGAGGUACUAUUUCUGGGUUAACGGAGUCUGUAACCUGAAGCGUCUGUAACCUGAAGCGUAUGUAACCCGAGGUACCACUGUAUGCAGAAGAUCCUAGGCUCAGUCCCUGGGAUCUCCA